UCAUAUGAAUGAACAAAGAAAGUAGUUUCUUGAGAUGGAAUCUACUGCUGGUGAGGAAGCUGUGAG
rnacentral:pre_miRNA from 1 species